AUCAGUUUUGGCAGACAUGUUGGAAGGGUUGACCAUAUAGAAAAGAUUCGCCUGCAGUUAUAUACUGGAUUAUCAGGAUUAUAAUGGAACCCUUGUCCCAUUGAUAGAGGUGUAAAUUCAUCCAGCAUGUCUGAUGUCCAGAAAUGGGAUAAUUAAACGAAUGGAAACCAAGAACGUGUUUGUUGUAACGCCUCUGCCCAAAUCCCAUCCCUAUUUCAUUUGGACUGUGAAUACACUAUGAAGACAACCAUUCUCGUGCAACCAGUCAGCUGAUUUCACACACAAUGACCACUGCUACGCACUGUACCGUUUCUGAGAAGAGUUAUCUCCCCUUCUCCGAGAUUCCGUAUGUACAAUUAUCAUUAUUUUUAAUUUUUAAUUUCA